CAUUCACGGAGAGUUUGAUCCUGGCUCAGGACGAACGCUGGCGGCGUGCUUAACACAUGCAAGUCGAACGAUGAACCGCUUUCGGGCGGGGAUUAGUGGCGAACGGGUGAGUAACACGUGGGCAAUCUGCCCUGCACUCUGGGACAAGCCCUGGAAACGGGGUCUAAUACCGGAUAUGACUGUCCAUCGCAUGGUGGAUGGUGUAAAGCUCCGGCGGUGCAGGAUGAGCCCGCGGCCUAUCAGCUUGUUGGUGAGGUAGUGGCUCACCAAGGCGACGACGGGUAGCCGGCCUGAGAGGGCGACCGGCCACACUGGGACUGAGACACGGCCCAGACUCCUACGGGAGGCAGCAGUGGGGAAUAUUGCACAAUGGGCGAAAGCCUGAUGCAGCGACGCCGCGUGAGGGAUGACGGCCUUCGGGUUGUAAACCUCUUUCAGCAGGGAAGAAGCGAAAGUGACGGUACCUGCAGAAGAAGCGCCGGCUAACUACGUGCCAGCAGCCGCGGUAAUACGUAGGGCGCAAGCGUUGUCCGGAAUUAUUGGGCGUAAAGAGCUCGUAGGCGGCUUGUCACGUCGGUUGUGAAAGCCCGGGGCUUAACCCCGGGUCUGCAGUCGAUACGGGCAGGCUAGAGUUCGGUAGGGGAGAUCGGAAUUCCUGGUGUAGCGGUGAAAUGCGCAGAUAUCAGGAGGAACACCGGUGGCGAAGGCGGAUCUCUGGGCCGAUACUGACGCUGAGGAGCGAAAGCGUGGGGAGCGAACAGGAUUAGAUACCCUGGUAGUCCACGCCGUAAACGGUGGGCACUAGGUGUGGGCAACAUUCCACGUUGUCCGUGCCGCAGCUAACGCAUUAAGUGCCCCGCCUGG
rnacentral:rRNA from 1 species